UUAAGCGACUAAGCGUACACGGUGGAUGCCCUGGCAGUCAGAGGCGAUGAAGGACGUGCUAAUCUGCGAAAAGCGUCGGUAAGGUGAUAUGAACCGUUAUAACCGGCGAUGUCCGAAUGGGGAAACCCAGUGUGAUUCGUCACACUAUCGUUAACUGAAUACAUAGGUUAACGAGGCGAACCGGGGGAACUGAAACAUCUAAGUACCCCGAGGAAAAGAAAUCAACCGAGAUUCCCCCAGUAGCGGCGAGCGAACGGGGAGCAGCCCAGAGUCUGAAUCAGCUUGUGUGUUAGUGGAACGGUCUGGAAAGUCCGACGGUACAGGGUGAUAGUCCCGUACACCAAAAUGCACAGGUUGUGAACUCGAAGAGUAGGGCGGGACACGUGGUAUCCUGUCUGAAUAUGGGGGGACCAUCCUCCAAGGCUAAAUACUCCUGACUGACCGAUAGUGAACCAGUACCGUGAGGGAAAGGCGAAAAGAACCCCGGCGAGGGGAGUGAAAAAGAACCUGAAACCGUGUACGUACAAGCAGUGGGAGCACCUUCGGGUGUGACUGCGUACCUUUUGUAUAAUGGGUCAGCGACUUAUAUUCUGUAGCAAGGUUAACCGUAUAGGGGAGCCGCAGGGAAACCGAGUCUUAACUGGGCGUUAAGUUGCAGGGUAUAGACCCGAAACCCGGUGAUCUAGCCAUGGGCAGGUUGAAGGUUGGGUAACACUAACUGGAGGACCGAACCGACUAAUGUUGAAAAAUUAGCGGAUGACUUGUGGCUGGGGGUGAAAGGCCAAUCAAACCGGGAGAUAGCUGGUUCUCCCGAAAGCUAUUUAGGUAGCGCCUCGUGAACUCAUCUUCGGGGGUAGAGCACUGUUUCGGCUAGGGGGUCAUCCCGACUUACCAACCCGAUGCAAACUACGAAUACCGAAGAAUGUUAUCACGGGAGACACACGGCGGGUGCUAACGUCCGUCGUGAAGAGGGAAACAACCCAGACCGCCAGCUAAGGUCCCAAAGUCAUGGUUAAGUGGGAAACGAUGUGGGAAGGCACAGACAGCCAGGAUGUUGGCUUAGAAGCAGCCAUCAUUUAAAGAAAGCGUAAUAGCUCACUGGUCGAGUCGGCCUGCGCGGAAGAUGUAACGGGGCUAAACCAUGCACCGAAGCUGCGGCAGCGACACUAUGUGUUGUUGGGUAGGGGAGCGUUCUGUAAGCCUGCGAAGGUGACCUGUGAGGGUUGCUGGAGGUAUCAGAAGUGCGAAUGCUGACAUAAGUAACGAUAAAGCGGGUGAAAAGCCCGCUCGCCGGAAGACCAAGGGUUCCUGUCCAACGUUAAUCGGGGCAGGGUGAGUCGACCCCUAAGGCGAGGCCGAAAGGCGUAGUCGAUGGGAAACAGGUUAAUAUUCCUGUACUUGGUGUUACUGCGAAGGGGGGACGGAGAAGGCUAUGUUAGCCGGGCGACGGUUGUCCCGGUUUAAGCAUGUAGGCUGGUUGUCCAGGCAAAUCCGGAUAAUCAAGGCUGAGGUGUGAUGACGAGGCACUACGGUGCUGAAGUAACAAAUGCCCUGCUUCCAGGAAAAGCCUCUAAGCAUCAGGUAACAUUAAAUCGUACCCCAAACCGACACAGGUGGUCAGGUAGAGAAUACCAAGGCGCUUGAGAGAACUCGGGUGAAGGAACUAGGCAAAAUGGUGCCGUAACUUCGGGAGAAGGCACGCUGGUGUGUAGGUGAAGUCCCUGCGGAUGGAGCUGAGACCAGUCGAAGAUACCAGCUGGCUGCAACUGUUUAUUAAAAACACAGCACUGUGCAAACACGAAAGUGGACGUAUACGGUGUGACGCCUGCCCGGUGCCGGAAGGUUAAUUGAUGGGGUUAUCCGUAAGGAGAAGCUCUUGAUCGAAGCCCCGGUAAACGGCGGCCGUAACUAUAACGGUCCUAAGGUAGCGAAAUUCCUUGUCGGGUAAGUUCCGACCUGCACGAAUGGCGUAAUGAUGGCCAGGCUGUCUCCACCCGAGACUCAGUGAAAUUGAACUCGCUGUGAAGAUGCAGUGUACCCGCGGCAAGACGGAAAGACCCCGUGAACCUUUACUAUAGCUUGACACUGAACAUUGAGCCUUGAUGUGUAGGAUAGGUGGGAGGCUUUGAAGCGUGGACGCCAGUCUGCGUGGAGCCAACCUUGAAAUACCACCCUUUAAUGUUUGAUGUUCUAACGUUGGCCCCUUACCGGGGUUGCGGACAGUGUCUGGUGGGUAGUUUGACUGGGGCGGUCUCCUCCCAAAGCGUAACGGAGGAGCACGAAGGUUAGCUAAUCCUGGUCGGACAUCAGGAGGUUAGUGCAAUGGCAUAAGCUAGCUUGACUGCGAGCGUGACGGCGCGAGCAGGUGCGAAAGCAGGUCAUAGUGAUCCGGUGGUUCUGAAUGGAAGGGCCAUCGCUCAACGGAUAAAAGGUACUCCGGGGAUAACAGGCUGAUACCGCCCAAGAGUUCAUAUCGACGGCGGUGUUUGGCACCUCGAUGUCGGCUCAUCACAUCCUGGGGCUGAAGUAGGUCCCAAGGGUAUGGCUGUUCGCCAUUUAAAGUGGUACGCGAGCUGGGUUUAGAACGUCGUGAGACAGUUCGGUCCCUAUCUGCCGUGGGCGCUGGAGAAUUGAGGGGGGCUGCUCCUAGUACGAGAGGACCGGAGUGGACGCAUCACUGGUGUUCGGGUUGUCAUGCCAAUGGCACUGCCCGGUAGCUAAAUGCGGAAGAGAUAAGUGCUGAAAGCAUCUAAGCACGAAACUUGCCCCGAGAUGAGUUCUCCCUGAGACUUUAAGUCUCCUGAAGGAACGUUAAAGACGAUGACGUUGAUAGGCCGGGUGUGUAAGCGCAGCGAUGCGUUGAGCUAACCGGUACUAAUGAACCGUGAGGCUUAACCU
rnacentral:rRNA from 1 species